rnacentral:piRNA from 1 species
AAGAACAUUAUGUCGUACGUGAUGGAACA